rnacentral:rRNA from 1 species
GGUGAACGCUGGCGGCGUGCUUAAGACAUGCAAGUCGAACGCAGUCUUCGGACUGAGUGGCGCACGGGUGAGUAACACGUAACUGACCUACCCCCAAGUCGCGGAUAACUGGCCGAAAGGUCAGCUAAUACGUGAUGUGAUGUCCCCUUUCUGGGGGGCCAUUAAAGGUUUACUGCUUGGGGAUGGGGUUGCGUUCCAUCAGCUAGUUGGCGGGGUAAAGGCCCACCAAGGCAACGACGGAUAGCCGGCCUGAGAGGGUGGCCGGCCACAGGGGCACUGAGACACGGGUCCCACUCCUACGGGAGGCAGCAGUUAGGAAUCUUCCACAAUGGGCGAAAGCCUGAUGGAGCGACGCCGCGUGAGGGAUGAAGGUUCUCGGAUCGUAAACCUCUGAAUCAGGGACGAAAGACGCGUAAGCGGGAUGACGGUACCUGAGUAAUAGCACCGGCUAACUCCGUGCCAGCCGCCGCCGGUAAAAC